rnacentral:rRNA from 1 species
GAUGAACGCUGGCGGCGUGCCUAAUACAUGCAAGUCGAGCGAACGGACGAGAAGCUUGCUUUUCUGAUGUUAGCGGCGGACGGGUGAGUAACACGUGGAUAACCUACCUAUAAGACUGGGAUAACUUCGGGAAACCGGAGCUAAUACCGGAUAAUAUUUUGAACCGCAUGGUUCAAAAGUGAAAGACGGUCUUGCUGUCACUUAUAGAUGGAUCCGCGCUGCAUUAGCUAGUUGGUAAGGUAACGGCUUACCAAGGCAACGAUGCAUAGCCGACCUGAGAGGGUGAUCGGCCACACUGGAGCUGGGACACGGUCCAUGCUCCUACGGGAGGCAGCAGUAGGGAAUCUUCCGCAAUGGGCGAAAGCCUGACGGAGCAACGCCGCGUGAGUGAUGAAGGUCUUCGGAUCGUAAAACUCUGUUAUUAGGGAAGAACAUAUGUGUAAGUAACUGUGCACAUCUUGACGGUACCUAAUCAGAAAGCCACGGCUAACUACGUG